rnacentral:misc_RNA from 1 species
CGCACAUUGCGCCCGCCAGUAUUCUGGCGGGCAUGCCUGUUCGAGCGUCAUUUCAACCCUCAAACCCCCGGGUUUGGUGUUGGGGAUCGGUUAGACUUGCUCUCACCGGCCCCGAAAUCUAGUGGCGGUCACGCUGCAGCUUCCAUUGCGUAGUAGAAACACCUCGCAACUGGGACGCGGCGCGGCCAAGCCGUUAAACCCCCAACUUCUGAAUGUUGACCUCGGAUCAGGUAGGAAUACCCGCUGAACUUAA